AUACUGGAUGCUACAUGUCACCGCAUGGUGGUGUGUGGAAAGGGUUUACUGGUCUUGGAUGGGCUCACGGCCUAUCAGCUUGUUGGUGAGGUAAUGGCUCACCAAGGCGACGACGGGUAGCCGGCCUGAGAGGGUGACCGGCCACACUGGGACUGAGACACGGCCCAGACUCCUACGGGAGGCAGCAGUGGGGAAUAUUGCACAAUGGGCGAAAGCCUGAUGCAGCGACGCCGCGUGAGGGAUGACGGCCUUCGGGUUGUAAACCUCUUUCAGCAGGGAAGAAGCCACAAGUGACGGUACCUGCAGAAGAAGCGCCGGCUAACUACGUGCCAGCAGCCGCGGUAAUACGUAGGGCGCAAGCGUUGUCCGGAAUUAUUGGGCGUAAAGAGCUCGUAGGCGGUUUGUCGCGUCUGCUGUGAAAGCCCGGGGCUUAACCCCGGGUGUGCAGUGGGUACGGGCAGACUAGAGUGCAGUAGGGGAGACUGGAAUUCCUGGUGUAGCGGUGGAAUGCGCAGAUAUCAGGAGGAACACCGAUGGCGAAGGCAGGUCUCUGGGCUGUUACUGACGCUGAGGAGCGAAAGCAUGGGGAGCGAACAGGAUUAGAUACCCUGGUAGUCCAUGCCGUAAACGUUGGGCACUAGGUGUGGGGGACAUUCCACGUUUUCCGCGCCGUAGCUAACGCAUUAAGUGCCCCGCCUGGGGAGUACGGCCGCAAGGCUAAAACUCAAAGGAAUUGACGGGGGCCCGCACAAGCGGCGGAGCAUGCGGAUUAAUUCGAUGCAACGCGAAGAACCUUACCAAGGCUUGACAUAUACCGGAUCGUUCCAGAGAUGGUUCUUCCCCUUUGGGGUCGGUAUACAGGUGGUGCAUGGUUGUCGUCAGCUCGUGUCGUGAGAUGUUGGGUUAAGUCCCGCAACGAGCGCAACCCUCGUUCCAUGUUGCCAGCACGUGAUGGUGGGGACUCAUGGGAGACUGCCGGGGUCAACUCGGAGGAAGGUGGGGAUGACGUCAAAUCAUCAUGCCCCUUAUGUCUUGGGCUUCACGCAUGCUACAAUGGCCGGUACAAAGGGUUGCGAUACUGUGAGG
rnacentral:rRNA from 1 species